rnacentral:rRNA from 1 species
GUCUUACUACGUACGGAGGGGCAUUCGGCUUUAAGGACUGUUCGAAGUCCAGUAUACUUAUGCAUGUUGCGAUGGUGAACAA